rnacentral:lncRNA from 1 species
AUUGGUAGCCACAGAAGUUUUGAGAACAAUGUGGUACAUGGAAAAAAUAGGUUUGCUUCUGUUUGAAAAGUGUGCUUAGCAUUUUAAGUUGCUAUACCAGUGUAUAAAUUUGGUGCUCUGCUAAUUAUACUCUGUAGAAGCAGAUUAAUGGAGCUUAAGCCCUGCUUUGAUAAAUAGUGAAAGGUAAUUCUGUAGAAGAAUGUCAGCCACUACAACAGGGUGAAGUUAUUCUACUCUUACUAGUUUUAUAUUACGGGACAGUGUUGACCGGGAGCCAGAAGGCUUUAUGCUAACAGGUCAGAAAAAAGAUUGACUUAUAUGUUAUUUUCAUUCCUGUCCUGAUUGUAGGCAUGUUUUAAAUUUUAUAUUAUCCACAGUAUUUACAAAGACAUGUUUUGCAUUGAGAAAUUAACCCCAAAGGGAUUUGAGAGGAGGGAGUAGACCUCCAAUACCGAUGUAACUAAAGUCGGUCUAGUCAUUGUAAAUAUUUAUCUGUCAAUUUUGACACAUUGGGGCCAGCUUGAUGUUUUAAAUCUUGAGUAUAAAAAUUUAAAGGCUUAUUCAAUUUUUUACCAUUUUAUUGAAUAUAUUUGAAAUCUGUUUUUACAGUUUUUUUGGUAAUUGUGCCAUGAAAUUUGAAAACCACCAAAAAUUAAGAGAACUUUUAUAAAUUCCUUUUCUGGUGUAAUGUUAAGUUGUAUAGAUUAUUAAUGCAUGUCCAAUGAAUAUAACCCUGGUUUUGUGAUAAAUCUGCUUAGAUUUUAUUGGUGACAUGUUAGAUUAGUGGUUGCAUCAAAUAACUAAAUUCCAAAAAAAAAAAAAAAAG